GCCCGAGUGGUGGAACUGGUAGACGCACGGGACUCAAAAUCCCGCAUCCGCAAGGGUAUGUCGGUUCAAGUCCGACCUCGGGCA
rnacentral:tRNA from 1 species